AAAACCACUGAGUUCAGGGGGCAGGUGCAUGGAGUUGUUACUUUUCAUAGAUACACCGCUGAAUCCUGGAGAUGCUGCUCUCUGAGUGUGAAAACCACUGAGUUCAGGGGGCAGGUGCAUGGAGUUGUUACUUUUCAUAGAUACACCGCUGAAUCCUGGAGAUGCUGCUCUCUGAGUGUAAAAAUCACUGAGAUCAGGGGGCAGGUGCAUGGAGUUGUUACUUUUCAUAGAUACACUGCUGAAUCCUGGAGAUGCUGCUCUCUGAGUGUAAACAGGAGCCUCCUGCUCUUUCUCCUCAUACACACUCAUUUUACAAGCUGU